rnacentral:rRNA from 1 species
AACGUAGGACGCAAGCGUUAUCCGGAGUUACUGGGCGUAAAGCGCGAGCAGGCGGCUCGACAAGUUCGAUGUGAAAGCGCCCGGCUCAACCGGGCGAGGCCAUUGGAAACUAUCGAGCUGGAGGGCAGUAGAGGCAGGCGGAAUUCCGGGUGGAGUGGUGAAAUGCGUAGAGAUCCGGAGGAACACCAGAGGCGAAGGCGGCUCACUGGUCCGGUACUGACGCUGAGGUGCGAAAGCGUGGGGAGCAAACAGG